rnacentral:rRNA from 1 species
CCUACGGGUGGCUGCAGUGGGGAAUAUUGGACAAUGGGCGAAAGCCUGAUCCAGCCAUGCCGCGUGUGUGAAGAAGGCCUUCGGGUUGUAAAGCACUUUCAGUGGGGAAGAAAGCCUUGGGGCUAAUACCCUCGAGGAAGGACAUCACCCACAGAAGAAGCACCGGCUAACUCCGUGCCAGCAGCCGCGGUAAUACGGAGGGUGCGAGCGUUAAUCGGAAUUACUGGGCGUAAAGCGCGCGUAGGCGGUCUGAUAAGCCGGUUGUGAAAGCCCCGGGCUCAACCUGGGAACGGCAUCCGGAACUGUCAGGCUAGAGUGCAGGAGAGGAAGGUAGAAUUCCCGGUGUAGCGGUGAAAUGCGUAGAGAUCGGGAGGAAUACCAGUGGCGAAGGCGGCCUUCUGGACUGACACUGACGCUGAGGUGCGAAAGCGUGGGUAGCAAACAGGAUUAGAUCCCCGGGUAGUC